AAAUAGGAAGGGAAGAAUCUGUGACAUUUGACACCACAGUUGAUUGUGCUGAGCUUGCUGGCUGGGAGGAUGUCCUCUUCCGCCCUCAUCACUCAUGUGCACUCCUCCUGAAGCUAUGUGCUUUGGGGAAGAGGACAAGCUAGCUCAAUUGUAGACCACUGUUUUGUGGAGGAUAUAUGAAUAGCUGCAUUCUCCUAUUAGAACCUCAAACUGAACUCAUAAAUUUAUCUAUAGUAUAUACAAGAAUAUCCAACACCCAACAAAGACAAUUUCACAAUGUCUAGCAUU
rnacentral:snRNA from 1 species